rnacentral:rRNA from 1 species
UACGUAGGGUGCAAGCGUUUGUCCGGAAUUAUUGGGCGUAAAGAGCUCGUAGGCGGUCUGUCGCGUCUGCUGUGAAAACUCAGGGCUUAACCCUGAGCUUGCAGUCGAUACGGGCAGACUCGAGUGCGGUAGGGAGACUGGAAUUCCUGGUGUAGCGGUGAAAUGCGCAGAUAUCAGGAGGAACACCGGUGCGAAGGCGGUCUCUGGGCCGUAACUGGACGCUGGAGGAGCGAAAGCUGGGGAGCGAACGG